GAUGAACGCUGGCGGUGUGCCUAAUACAUGCGAGUCGAGCGAACAGACGAGGAGCUUACUCCUCUGACGUUAGCGGCGGACGGGUGAGUAACACGUGGAUAACCUACCUAUAAGACUGGGAUAACUUCGGGAAACCGGAGCUAAUACCGGAUAACAUGUUGAACCGCAUGGUUCAACAGUGAAAGACGGUCUUGCUGUCACUUAUCGAUGGAUCCGCGUCGCAUUAGCUAGUUGGUAAGGUAACGGCUUACCAAGGCAACGAUGCGUAGCCGACCUGAGAGGGUGAUCGGCCACACUGGAACUGAGACACGGUCCAGACUCCUACGGGAGGCAGCAGUAGGGAAUCUUCCGCAAUGGGCGAAAGCCUGACGGAGCAACGCCGCGUGAGUGAAGAAGGUCUUCGGAUCGUAAAACUCUGUUAUUAGGGAAGAACAAAUGUGUAAGUAACUAUGCACGUCUUGACGGUACCUAAUCAGAAAGCCACGGCUAACUACGUG
rnacentral:rRNA from 1 species